UGGGCUGUAGCUUAGUGGUGGAGCACUCGGCUAGCAUGCGGGAGACACUGGGUUGGAUCCUCAGCACCACAU
rnacentral:tRNA from 1 species